GAUGAACGCUGGCGGCGUGCCUAAUACAUGCAAGUCGAGCGAACGGACGAGAAGCUUGCUUUUCUGAUGUUAGCGGCGGACGGGUGAGUAACACGUGGAUAACCUACCUAUAAGACUGGGAUAACUUCGGGAAACCGGAGCUAAUCCCGGAUAAUAUUUUGAACCGCAUGGUUCAAAAGUGAAAGACGGUCUUGCUGUCACUUAUAGAUGGAUCCGCGCUGCAUUAGCUAGUUGGUAAGGUAACGGCUUACCAAGGCAACGAUGCAUAGCCGACCUGAGAGGGUGAUCGGCCACACGGGAACUGAGACACGGUCCAGACGCCUACGGGAGGCAGCAGUAGGGAAUCUUCCGCAAUGGGCGAAAGCCUGACGGAGCAACGCCGCGUGAGUGAUGAAGGUCUUCGGAUCGUAAAACUCUGUUAUUAGGGAAGAACAUAUGUGUAAGUAACUGUGCACAGCUUGACGGUACCUAAUCAGAAAGCCACGGCUAACUACGUG
rnacentral:rRNA from 1 species